GCCCGUUUACUGUUUGGAUGGUCCUUGCUUUGGGAAGCUGGUACUUUCAUGCAGUCUCUUACUGCUUGGACCAUGGUCCUUGGUGUGAUUGUAAGGUUGUAUCACAUUUUUGGAUAUGGUUUUGUUCCCUUUGUUUCUUUUUAGUUGUUGAUAUAUAGCUUUUCUGUGCAUAUUGGUAUUUUUUAUCAAUACUCUUUUCUGUUGUAGUAUGUUGUACUGGUGUGUGUGCCUUAAACCUUUUUGUAAUGAAAACAUUGUCUGGCUUGUUGUUCCUUAAUUGCUGUAGGCGAAUAAUAAAUGUUUGAGAUUUACAUGUUUAAGUAACCGACUUUGUUGAUUGACCAUUUCAGAGUAAAGGAAAAUGCCUUCACUUCAGAAAGCUUUACCUCCAGAACUUGCCGACAAUGCGCUUAGAGUAAGGAUCCUAUCACACCUUUCUAAUAGACAAAUUACCCCCAUCAUGACCUGUACAUGGUGAUGGUAAUGAGUAGUAAGUUCUGAAAUUUCAUUUCUGUAGUCAGGGUAGCUCUAUCAGUUAAGUCUACCCUUUUAGCUUCAGCUUUUGCAAAUCAUGUCUAGUACUCUCGUGCACCUAGUUCUUCAUCAUCAUCAAAAUUGGUCACACAAAAUAAUAAAUAGAUGAUGGCAUUUGAGGAGAAAAUGUUAUCAGUACUUAUAAGCUCUUUUUGUUAUGCUGUAGUUAUACCGCGAAUGCUUAAGGAGGGCUAAGUUCAUCGGUAGUCAGGUAAGCAUACUUUCGUUUGAACUAUCUUAUUAUCUUGAAGUACAUAAUAUUUCUUAGCACACACUCAGCUUGCUCUGUUCUCCUCAAGUAUCUUUAACCCGAGAGUGUUCCAGGAGAAACAGUCUGGUCGCUCCAUCAUCAGUUCAUGUGUCACUUAAGCAUCUGUACAUAGAUUUUGAAUUACUUCACCUUGUUUUUUUUUCAAUGAAAACUGCUCCAAAGAAUCAACGUUCUUUGGCAGCAUAACAUGUAUAAGAGGGCUUAUUAUUUUCAGGCCCUUUAUACUGAUGUUCGUAAAAUACGUUGCACCUGGAAUAUGCAAAUUGUGUUUUUUCAUUUACAAGAUGGAGAACCAGAUCUACAGUAGAAUAAAAGGCCAUCACAAAUUAGAACUAAUAAGUCCUAUUUACCUUUGAGUUAUGGCAUAUUUGUGUAACUUUAUGAAGGUGCAUGUUUGACUGAGUUGUAUUUUAUGACCCAGCAACAUAACACAGGGCUUCUUGUUUCCAUGGUGAGGCAACAGUUCAAGAAAAACAUGCAUGAAACUGAUCCAGAGAAGAUACAGAAAAUGAAGGAUGAGUAAGUUACUGCUCCGUGGGCACCUUCAAUUUUUGGCUGACUUACCUUUUUAUUCUCGUUGGAACAUACAUCAUGAAAUUAUAUCUUGCUAUGCAGUGCGGCACGGGGCCUUAUCAAUCACAUAAUAUAUGAAUCCGAGAAGAUGACAGGACGUAAAUUCUCAGGUUAAGAAAGUUGAAAGUAGACUUUUGGCAAUAUGCUGUACGAGUUGAACAGCGACUUGAUCCUAUGGCUGUUGAAUUAUUUUUCUCCUCCGACACAAGGACCAUCUAAUGCUUUUCUUUGUUGUUGACUUAAUAAAGCAGUGUUUUUUCAUCAGUUGCAUUUUACUGUGCUUCUGGAUGUAAUUGACCCACGCAUGCCAAGCGUUAGCUGUUUUGUUAAGGUGUAAAUCUUCAGCAAUUUUAAGUGCUCCAAUCUGUGUUUAAACGGCUGCGUUGCUUGAAUUUUCUUCUUCUCGUGAUGUAUUGAGGCAGUUUCAACAUGUUCACUGGUUCCAUUUCCAUGGAGCUGAAUCGGUCACAAGUUUGCAAAACCGGAAAUAUUCCUUGCAGUCUUUUUUCUCUGUUUUUUUAGACGAUUAAAUCACUUGAAGUUUCCAAGGCUUGUUGUGGAUCUCACUGGAUUGUCAGCAGUAUUAAACAGUCUGCACAACUAAAGAGCUCAUGGCUAUGAAAUGCCAGAUUAGAACACCAAAGAUUGCCGUUGCCUUCAGUUUAUUCUCUCGUGAAACUGUUUUUAGGUGAGCCUGAAGAGUGCACUCUUACCAAGUUCUACUGAUACCAUCGGUCUUUCUCAGUAAAAAGCAAGAGAAUCACUCUUACCAAGAGGCUUGACUUACUGGAGUAACAGAAUGCAUCCCAAUUAUUCAUGGUCACAUCUGUAGAUCCUGGAUGAUGCAUCUGCCCCUCUGCACCUAACAUGCAUGGAUAUGAUAUCUCAGCUUUCAGCUGAAGCAGCUACCACUCUAUGGGUUGUAUUUUGUCACAUUGCUCUCUGGAAUCCGGAAAAGCGCGACAAAACGGAUGGCGUUGCGUCAAAGAGAUGAGAGGGGUGUAGGAAAGGAACUGAUGAGGAUGAUGAGUUCAGUGAUCUGGGGCCAGUUCUGGAAUUCCCUGCACUGCAGGGUGUGAAACACUACUUACUGUCUGCAGGUCAAAUGAUGGGGAAGCAAACACCCAUGCCUGACAAAAGAUUGUCAUCCAGACAUCACCAAUGGGCCUCAAGGAUGGAUAUCCAUCAGCCUUCUUCUUCCGCCAUGCCGACGAACUCCAGCCGCUCCUUUCCGGCACAGGUUCAUCACCCGUAAGGUCCAUCUGAUCACUAGCCCUAGCUCACGGAUUGUCGCGGGAAUCAUCGGUUGAGAAAAGGGCGACGGCGACCAUGAUUGUCGACAAUUGGGGGGCGUCGUCUAGCCCAGCGCAAUGACAAGGCAGCAGCAGCUCCUAUGAGCCUAUGACCUGGACUGCAUACAGAUGAACUCACUGGUGGGCGGUGGCUAUGGUGUUUCAGUAGGUCAAUGCUCCAUGACCAGUGCAAUGCAAUGUCUUCUAAAGUUGGAAUCAUGGCUGCUGUUGAAAGAGGAGUGCCAGCCCAGUAGCUUUCUGCCUACUGCAGCAAAUAUGAUCUUGGCAUCUUUCCCUCUAUAGCAAAUAUGGACAAGUACAGUUAAGGCACUGUUGAGCAGCUGUACUCGGUAGUUGGCUUGGCAACAGCACUACCACACCAGAGAUCAUACCUUCCUACCAUGUUCUGGUGCCUGUACCAGCAAGUUACUGGUGAAAUCAGCAUGGUCUGCUCUACCAAUAGGCUCAGAUUGUCAGACAACUGGUAUCUCCCUGUGCAAUCUUCUUUCUGUCCAACUCAGUCAUGCCUCAGCUUAUCUUGUUUUCCGCAUGCGUGUCGACGCAAAGGGUAUUGGCUAGGCUAUAAAUAUUGCACUAUUGCCUCAACUCUCAACUUUCAGUUCAUUGAAUUUGACGCGAUUUGCGUUUCAAACGAGACACUUCGGAAGAAAUUUGCAUUCUAAAGUAAGCUGGUAUUCAGCACCCAUUUGAAGCAUGGGACUCGAGGCAUCGUCGUGGCAAUUCAAGUAAACAUGUCCAUCCAUCAACUGGAUCUCAUUCAAUAGCUUGAUCUGUUAGAUCAGAAAUAUUUCUUGUUAAAGACUUGAGCCUGUCAUUGUAAACCAUUUUAACCAACAACAAAAUGUGCAGUACUCAGAAGGGAAUAGGCCCAGUUAAGUAUCAUAUUCAACUGGUAACAGUACACGCUCAACUUAAGCUCAAGAAAGGUGCAAGCAGAAAUGAUGCUCAUCACUCACCAAUUUGGUGCAAAAAUCAAAGAAUAAUAUGAACAGUUUGCAGUAAUAUAGAAAAGUGAGACUGAAAAAAGUUUCAAAGUUGAUGCUAUAAUAGUCUUCUACUCAUUCAGAGAUUACACAUACGGUGCUCCCUUAGAUCAGGAGGCUACAGAUAGAUACACAUUAGCCUAUUUUCAUACUUCAUCAGUAGGCAUCAUAUAGGGGCCUCAUACUUCAUCACUGGCCAUCAUAUAGUGGCAUCAUACCGUGCAUAAGUAGACAUCUCAUACUAGCACUGAUGCUUAAAUUAUCGAUAUAAUUUACUUCCAGUAGCUAUGAGCGAUGCAGCAUUAUUGCUUCACUUUGGUGUUGAGCCUUCACCCAGCUUGGAUGGCCGGGCCUCACCCAUCCGUGGACUGUCUCGCCCCCCUAGAGGGCUGCGUUCAUGCCUCAGCUCGUUGACGCGAGGGCUGUAGGCCUUCUCAGACAUACAAGGGCUGCGGAUGCCUUUCAGUUCCGUGACAGGAGUGCCACCUGAACUGGUGAUCUUCGGACUAUUCAGGCG
rnacentral:lncRNA from 1 species